AGCCUCUUCAAACCCGCCUGCCUGGCUCCACCCGGCAGGGCUGAGAGCGUCCACUGGAACUCACUGUCAUGCAGCCCUCUCGCCUCCGCUCCUUGUUGAGAGAACCCUGUUUCUGUAAGGCCAGCAGGAAGGAGAAGGAGGGACGCCCCAAUCCUAACCCUUCAUCUGCCAGGGGAGAUGUAGGCGCCAGCACAAGGCCAGGCUGCAGAGCUGACUCAACUCUCCAGCUGGAAGGAGACACCAGGUUGCAUCACGCAUCCUCCCUCCGCCCAGGUCUAGAUCCAGCCUCCCCAUGGUCCUGCCAUUCCCAAGGGCUCACCGCCAUGGAGGGGCCCCUCCUAUCACCACAGCAACCCCGUCCCCUCAUCUCUCUCCUGGGACACACUGAGCCCUCAAUCCAGCAGGGCUCCUCAGCCAGGCUGGCCUGAGACAUGGGGUGGGCAGGAGGGGACGUGUGGGAUGACAUGCUGUGCAGCCAGAGAAAGUCCUCGAGGAUUCAUUCGUGGAGGCUCUGAUGUUUGGGCUCUGUGACUUGGCCAGUGGUUUGUGACGCUAGUUUAAGGUGCAGGGAAGGAAAUACCUAUUGGCUGCAUUGAAAUCUGAACCAGCUGGAGCUGGGCAGAUGCAACUGGUCUCAAGGUCACAGCUCAGCCAGAGGCACAGAAGGUGGGGACCUGGCCAGAGCCUCGGGGUACGUGACAUUUCCCCGCCGGCCAGUGGGGCCAAGCUUCCCUAAUCCCUGAAAGAAAUACAGGCCAUGCGUGCUUUCGCGUGUACAGGGUACCCCACCACACAGGGUCUUUGAAAGCCGGGGCUGUGAGCCCUCUGGGGCAGCCACCCCUCCACCCUGCCCCUGGGCCAGCCUUCCGCCGACUGGGACACGCCCGGCAGGGGUGACUCAGGGUCCUGCCGUUAGUCACGUUCCCUUAUAGCUGCAGACUCAGCGCAAGGGCUGGGGAUCGGUCUCCAGGGCCCACCCCUGCCCGGCAGGACCCUGAGUCGCCUGGCACCGGCCCCCAGGCCACUCCCCACAAGGACAGCCAGGGGAGAGGCAGCCACACGCGCGUGGCCUCACCCCGGGGACAGAGAAGACGGUGCCUGCGGCUGAGGACCUACAUAAGCUACACGUGUCCUGGACUUGACAUGGGGGCACCGUCCAGGCUAAAGCCUGCCUGGCCUGUGUUUCUUUCAUUUAAAGAAUUGCUUCAUUGUGAAAACUUGUGUAGCCGCCACCCAGGAAGGGAAACGAGACCUCAGAAAUGCUCCCCAAACUCCGCUCGGGGCAGCCACAUCCUGGCUUCCUCUGUGGUCUCGCCACCUGGGGACGCCCCUGGGAGCACAGAGCCGGCCACUGUCUGCGUCUGCAUUGGAUGUGGGUAGGGUGACACCGUGGUGCUUUGUGGGUGCAGACUCUCUCACAGUCGCCUACGCACCCCCCGCCGGGCAGCGCUCUCCGAGCUGCCAGCUGUGGCGCAUGAUCCUGUGGGGACGGUUCCUGCAGGGCUGUCUCCCGAGAGCCUCGGGCCGGCACCGCGGGGCGUGGAGUGUGCACUGUGCUUGGUCCCAUCUCACAUUUCCAAAGGGGAUUCCUCCGUCCACAGCCUAGUCCACACGCCCAGCAGCAGUAAGAGCCCUGGUCUCCGUCUCCCUGACCCUACUGUUGUCCAGAUUUAGAUGGUCACCAAUCUGACAUGUUAGGGAUGAACAAACCAACAACUACAAAUAUGUACCUGCCUCAUUUCCUCCACUGCCAAUGCCCACGCCAGGUUCUGCUUUGAAGCAUCUAGAAGGUUCUGAGUGCUGGCUUCCUCCAUGGUCCUUCCCACGCCUGCCUUACUGACAUGAACCACCCCAGGGCUGGGGGUCUGUCAGCGGCGCUGUGACAGGUGGGGCAACGGAGGCCCCAAGAGGGUCCUGCCAGCAUCUCAGAGAGGCAGUAACAGGGCCCUGGACCCCCUUCCUGGGAUCCCGUUGCUGAGAGACCCACCUUGGCACCCCAACUCCUCCCUCUCUAGGGCCCUCAGCAGCAUACAGCACAAGGGAGACCCCCGGGAAUGGGAGGGCAGGGGCACGGCUCCCAGGGGAGGCUAUUUUGGGCAGUCUGGGCCCCAGCCCCAGGCUCCGGGGCCUGGCCACACGUGACCCCCGGGAGGCCAAGGCGGCCUGAGCUGGGUUCACCCUCCAGAUGGAAGCUCUCGUUGCCACUGCCCUGACCCCUGGCACCGGCCACUGCCAGCGUCCUAUCUCACCCAUCUGCGCCUUCCUCCCAUCUGGGCACCAGCACCCUGGCUGCUGGGAGCCAACCCGGGUGAUGGACGACACAGUGCCCUCUCAAGGGACCCUCCGUCCCUCCCCCAGAGCUAUUCCUGGCCGAGGCGCCUCCCCACUCCCAGCCCCCACCUGGCCUGACCCCACAGCUGGGAACCAUUUGGCCGGGGGUGGGGCAGCCCUGCCUAUAUAAGCCUGGUCCUAGGUGUCCCAGGCACCCUGGAGGCCCAGACCCUCCACAGCUGACCUCUGCACACUCAGCCUGACCACAACCAGCCCGGCAAUGACAGCGACCUCGCAGGCCCCUGACUAUGGUCCGGAGGAGCCCGCCUCCGAGGUGCCCAAGGUGCCCACAGAGCCCUCAGGAGAAGGGGCAGCAUCGAAGGCCUCAGGGGAGGAGCAGGCUCCAGCAGCAACCUCUGAGGCUCCUGCCCCCGCAGCCUCGCAGGCCCCUGACCAUGGUCCGGAGGAGCCUGCCUCGGAGGUGCCCACGGAGCCCACGGAGCCCACGGAGCCCACGGAGCCCUCAGGAGAAGGGGCAGCAUCGGAGCUCACAGGGGAGGAGCAGGCUCCCACGGCAACCCCUGAGGCACCUGCCCCCGAAGCCACUAAACCUGCACCUCGAAGUGAAGACGUGCCCAGUGUCCCGCUGCAGCUGACCAUCGAGGACGUGAGCGACUGCUCGGUGACCGUGAGCUGGGAGCCUCCGGAGAGGCUGGGGAGUCAGGGCCUCCAGGGCUACCUGCUGGAGCUUCGCAAGGAGGGAGCCUCGGAAUGGGUGCCCGUGAACGCCCGGCCCAUGAUGGUGACCCAGCAGACCGUGCGGAAACUGGCCCCCGGAGACAAGUUCUUCCUGCGCGUGGCUGCCGUGAGCCCCGCGGGAGCCGGCCCGCCCGCGACGCUGGACCAGCCCAUCCACAUCCGGGAGAUCAUCGAGGCACCCAAGAUCCGUGUGCCCCGCCACCUGCGUCAGACCUACAUCCGCCAGGUGGGAGAGAUGGUCAACCUGCAGAUUCCCUUCCAGGGGAAUCCCAAGCCUCAAGUCUCGUGGACCCACAACGGCCAAGCUUUGGACAGCAAGAGAGUGAGCGUGCGCACCGGGGACCAGGACUCCAUCCUCUUCAUCCGCUCGGCCCAGCGCUCAGACUCAGGCUGCUAUGAGCUCACUGUGCGGCUGGAAACCCUGGAGGCCCGGGCAGCCAUCAACAUCCUGGUCAUUGAGAAGCCCAACCCGCCCAGCAGCAUCCGGCUAGUGGACGUCUGGGGCUGCAAUGUGGCCCUCGAGUGGACGCCGCCCCAGGACUCCGGCAACACUGAGCUUCUGGGCUACACGGUGCAGAAGGCGGACAAGAAGACAGAGCAAUGGUUCACCGUGCUGGAGCGCUACCAUCCGACCUCCUGCACCAUCUCCGACCUCAUCGUGGGCAACUCGUACUCCUUCCGGGUCUUUUCGGAAAACCUGUGUGGACUCAGUGACUCGCCCGCCAUCACCAAGGAGCUGGCCCACAUCCGGAAGAUAGAUAUUGUUGCCAAACUUAAAGGGUUUGUUGAGAGAGACUUCUCAGAAGCCCCUUCCUUCACCCAGCCCCUGGCUGAUCACACCACCACCUCCGGCUACAGCACCCAGCUCUCCUGCAGCGUGCGAGCGUCACCCAAGCCCAAGAUCAUCUGGUUGAAGAACAACAUGAACAUCCAGGGGGACCCCAAAUACCGCACCUUCUCUGAGCAAGGCGUCUACACCCUGGAGAUCCGGAAACCCAGCCCCUUUGAUUCCGGGGUCUACACCUGCAAGGCCGUCAACAUGCUGGGGGAGGCGUCUGUGGACUGCCGGCUGGAGGUCAAAGCCUUAGCCACACACUGAGGAGCACGGAGGAGGCUGUGCUGGAGACACAGGUGCUGUGGGCCUGAGGGGUCAGGGCCGCCAGGCCCAUAUCCGGCGCCAUGAGUCUCCAGACCCCUCUCUGUUGUGAUGGCGGACGGACAGCUCUGCUCCCUGGCCCCAGCCUCACCUCCCUCCACCCGAGGCUGCGGCCCAGUGCCCAGGAGUGGGCCUGGCAGCCCCCGGGACAGGAUGACUGGGCACAAGGCCCUGGACGGUGCCAAGAUUGCUGGGCCCUGCAAAGAGCUGCAUGCUGGGCAAGAACCAGUCCAAUAAAGGAGUGCCCGUCAGCGACUCCCCGGCCCAGCCCUCAGCAGGAGGCACAACUCUCUCGAGAGCAGACGGGUCUCCAUCAGGCCCAGGAGCAGACGGGUCUCCAUCAGGCCCAGGAGCAGCAGGGAAGGUGCUACUUAGGAGAGUCCCGGCCUGUCUGGGGGCAGGUGCACCUGCUGGGCUGGUCCUGGAUGACAGGUAGUCACACUCCAGCUUCCUCCUGGGGACGCUCAGUGCUGCCACCUGAUGGCUGGGUGAGGCCCACACCACCACUGCCUACUAGCGGCUGGGCUCCAAGCCCCCACCAGGCUCCAAAGGCUGGUGCAGAAUAAAGCGAAUGUUGGAAAUGA